rnacentral:rRNA from 1 species
AUACGGAGGCUGCAAGCGUUGUUCGGAAUUACUGGGCGUAAAGCGCGCGUAGGUGGUCUGUUAUGUCAGAUGUGAAAGUCCACGGCUCAACCGUGGAAGUGCAUUUGAAACUGGCAGACUUGAGUACUGGAGGGGGUAGUGGAAUUCCCGGUGUAGAGGUGAAAUUCGUAGAUAUCGGGAGGAAUACCGGUGGCGAAGGCGACUACCUGGCCAGAUACUGACACUGAGGUGCGAAAGCGUGGGGAGCGAACAGGAUUAGAUACCCCAGUAGUCC